UACCUUAUUAAUUCCUGCUUAACAAACAAGCCUAACAGUCUGGCAUAGAGAAAAAACCUAAUGUUCAAUCCCAAAUAGAUUUCGGAACCCUACCGGAUUAGCACGCAUUAAAUUUAUUCCGAUUUGAUUCAAUUUCUAGAGCGAGGAGCACUUUGGGUUUUCUGUAGGGCUAAAUGGGGAAGAGGAAGAAGAGAUCAUCCGAUAAAGUAUGGUGCUACUACCGUGACAGGGAGUUCGACGAUGAGAAGAUUUUGGUUCACCAUCAAAAGGCUGAACACUUCAAAUGCUGUGUUUGCCAUAAGAAGCAUUCUACUGCUGGCGGCAUAGCCAUUCACGUUCUCCAGGUUCACAAAGAAACCGUCAGCCAGUAAGGUACCAAAUGCCAAACCUUCGGUCUACUGAUAUUGAAGUAUAUGGAAUGCAAGGAAUCCCAAGUGAUUUGUUAGAAGCUCACUAUGGAGAGGAAGAGGGAGUUUCCCACAGGAGAACCCUUCUGGAUUAGCCUCAAUGCCUUUGUAUAAGUCCUUCAAAUGACUCUGUUAUUGAAACGAACAUCCCUUGCAUUCACAACAACCUUCAUCUGCGAGCAAAGUAAUGUUCAUCAUCUGCUGAAGCUUCAAUUCUGGACAAGAAGAUUAAGCUUCCACCUUUGGUCGUAGCACUAUGUUUUGAAAAGCUAGGUUGAAGAAAGAUGCCCAACACUUCAAAAAGGUACAUGACACAUCGAGUGCCACACUAUUGCUGUUACAGUGUUGCUACUAUACCCUACUUCCAUUGCUAAGACGUUUUCUCCUAUUCCAACAGGAAAUUUAACAUGUAUUUUGUCAUCACACAUACAAAGUUGUAACAGUAACUAAGAAUACCAAGAUGACAGCCACUAAUAGUGCUGGCAAUUUAAGUUCAUUUUUUACUGACCCGUCCAAAUAGCCCAUCAAAUAUGUGUUCAAAAAGUGAAUGAAAAAUUACCUAUGUAGA